rnacentral:rRNA from 1 species
CCUACGGGGGGCAGCAGUGAGGAAUAUUGGUCAAUGGCCGAGAGGCUGAACCAGCCAAGUCGCGUGAGGGAAGACGGCCCUACGGGUUGUAAACCUCUUUUGUCGGGGAGCAAAGCGAACCACGUGUGGUUCAUUGAGAGUACCCGAAGAAAAAGCAUCGGCUAACUCCGUGCCAGCAGCCGCGGUAAUACGGAGGAUGCGAGGGUUAUCCGGAUUUAUUGGGUUUAAAGGGUGCGCAGGCGGAGGGGCAGGUCAGCGGUAAAAUUGCGGGGCUCAACCGCGUACUGCCGUGGAAACUGCAUGCCUUGAGUGCGUGAGAGGGAUGCGGAAUGCGUGGUGUAGCGGUGAAAUGCAUAGAUA